GUGCUCACUUCGGCAGCACAUAUACUAAAAUUGGAAUGGUACAGAGAUGAGCCUGGCCCUUGCACAAGGAUGACACGCAAAUUCGUAAAUUGUUCCGUAUUUUU